rnacentral:rRNA from 1 species
UGGGGAAUAUUGCACAAUGGGGGAAACCCUGAUGCAGCGACGCCGCGUGAACGAAGAAGGUAUUCGUAUCGUAAAGUUCUGUCCUAUGGGAAGAUAAUGACAGUACCAUAGAAGAAAGCUCCGGCUAAAUACGUGCCAGCAGCCGCGGUAAUACGUAUGGAGCGAGCGUUGUCCGGAAUUAUUGGGCGUAAAGGGUACGCAGGCGGUUUAAUAAGUCGAAUGUUAAAGAUCGGGGCUCAACCCCGUAAAGCAGUGGAAACUGAUAAACUUGAGUAGUGGAGAGGAAAGUGGAAUUCCUAGUGUAGUGGUGAAAUACGUAGAUAUUAGGAGGAAUACCAGUAGCGAAGGCGACUUUCUGGACACAAACUGACGCUGAGGUACGAAAGCGUGGGGAGCAAACAGG